rnacentral:tRNA from 1 species
GGAUUAGCUCAAUUGGUAGAGCAGCUGACUCUUAAUCAGUUGGUUCGGGGUUCAAGUCCCC